UACGGGGGGGGCAAGCGUUGUUCGGAAUUACUGGGCGUAAAGGGCUCGUAGGCGGCCAACUAAGUCGGAUGUGAAAUCUCCAGGCUCAACCUGGGAACUGCAUCCGAUACUGGAUGGCUUGAAUUCGGGAGAGGGAUGCAGAAUUCCAGGUGUAGCGGUGAAAUGCGUAGAUAUCUGGAGGAAUACCGGUGGCGAAGGCGGCAUCCUGGACCGACAUUGACGCUGAGGAGCGAAAGCCAGGGGAGCAAACGGG
rnacentral:rRNA from 1 species